GAGUCUGAAAGUCAGAGGCCGAUUCACCGCGACGCGUCACGACGCGGCGAAAUGUUUUCCAACUACAGCUAUCGCGUAGGCCGCGUUCUCGCCUCGCGGCGACUCAUUGUCGUCAGUCAGUCAGUGUUGGCGCUCCGUAUCGUCGACAUCCAUCCAGUCAUUCGUCGGUCGAGCAAGUCCUGCGAGCCGUUCGUCUCUGCAUUUAACGACGCGCCGUCAUGUACCCCGGGAAUAACAACUACCAGUACAACCCGCAGUACGGCAAUCAGCCGCCUCCCCCGCAAGGCUACCCGAUGUACGGACCUCCGCCGCCUUAUGGUGCCCCGCCAAUUACGCAGCAGCCACCCCCAGGUACGACGGUCUACGUCGUUCCCGCCCAGGAACAGCAACGGUCAACGGGAAUGAGUGCGGAGUCGGCUCUUUGCUGCGGGUGCUGUUUAGGACUCUGUCUCGGGUGCGGACCUUGCGACCUCUGUUGCUGCUAGUUCCAAAUCACCGGGGGUAACAAGUGGUUGCCAACGAUGCGAUCCGGGCGAUGAUUAUACCGAUUUCCAAUGAACGACGAUGGAUUUAUCGACGCCCUGGGAAAACCGGAGCGGAUGUUGACUGAUUGCCUUACGCCGUGUAGGGGAAAAAGUCGUCAAGAACAGUUGGUGGAAUCUUGUCGGUGUGUGCGAAUGUGUGUCAGUGUGGGUGAGUGUGCGCCGUGAUAAUGGAUUCUUAAGAUAUGUGAAACCUGUUGUAUAGAUAAAAGAAAUAAAAUUUUCAACCUCGAGUCUGGCGCGAUGAGGCACAGUUCGGGCUAAUCGUGAAUAACAAGACGCUUAAGUGGUCGGGCACGUCGGUAAAGUAAUUAAAUAUCAUAAUUGUGUAAAUAUUAGGUAACGGUUGAAGGUGCUCAGUAAAAUAAUUAACAGAUAAACGUGCCAGUUAUACUUUAAUUUAUUUAUUAUCCCCUCUCUCUCUCUCUCUUUCUCUCUCUCUUUAUUUCUUUCUUUCUCUGGAUCCCACCAAUCCAUGCGAUUUCGAAAUAUAAUAUAACAUCAUCCCGAUCGAACUGCGCUGAAAUGCGUUUUCACCUAAUAUCGUGAAUCGCCAAAACGUAAAGGCCUUCGAUCGAUUAUAUUCAAGCUCUCCUCCGUCAUUAUCUCAGUUCGUGUGAUUGGGAAUAUUUUUUUCCAUGUUCAAUUGCAAAUCAGGAUACCAUACAACGGUACGAGCCUCUGGUUUAUUGUUGUUGUUGUAGAAACAACGUGCGAACUAAAAAUUAGUACUUGAGUCGUAAAGAGGUUAGUUCUUUCGCUAUUGUUUGUAUACCUACCUAUACGAGACCGUUACAAAAGAUAGCAUUCGCUCACGAGUUAUAUCACCAACGACUUCGCUGCGUUAAUUAACGUACCGUAUACAAAAUUCCGAGAGCUUAAUGGCGGCUGAAUUUGCGCGACGAUAACGAAUCGCGAUAAUGAUCGAUAGCAUCGAUUCGAAAAACGGUAUCACGGGCCUUGCGAUCCGAUAUUUUAUACUCCUCUUACAGGUACGUCACUGACUGAAAUACGCAACACAUGUUGUCACACAGUUGCUGCAGGAAGCUCACGGAUUCCGCAGUAGACGAUAAAACCUUGGCUGGUGAACACUGGGUGGUAACUUAUUUCCGAACCGAGGAGGACCGGAUACCAUCAUCUCCUACGACUCCUACACUUUGACGAUACGCCGAGUCACGUUAUGAUCAACAAGGCGAGAGAGGCAACGUCAGCGGCUGGCAGAUCUGUGCCAAAUAGUGCAAAUCGUACGGACGAUCCGCCGCCACCUUACAGCCUCUACAAACCGUCAAUGGCGGCCGAACCACCCCCGCCACCCCUCGAACCUCCAGCAUUGACUUCGGAGCAACCUCCAGGUUGGCGUAACGGCAGAUCGAAUUUGUUCAGAAAAUCUAAUACUUGUACGGACUAACUUUCCGAAUCAUUAUUCCGAUCCUAUUCAGCUGUAAUAACCGAGGUUAUACCUGGUCCUGGUUCACAAACGGAAAACUCUUCGAAUUACCACUUGACGUCGGGAGAGAGCAUCAAGGCUGCCUGCUGUAUAGUGUUAUGCUGGUUCUGGAUCCCGUUCGCUUUCUGCAUCGACUGUUGUGCCAGAACUUACCCACAGUUAAGGCCCAAACGGUAUCGGUAGAGAAAAGGCCGUCUUUCGCUCCUGAACUCACCUUCAAGAGGACGAAUUGCAACGUUUAAGAUGUCAAGCUCGUUUUUAAGAACCAAGUGAGCCAGGGCAAAGCCUAGGCGUGGAAUGCUGUUUUUAGUUUGGCCAAAAUACGCGUGCGCGUGAUUGGGACCAUGUGAAAGCGAUCGCUGCAAGUUUACAGUGAGAACUAUGAUAUUGCAUAAAUGCAGAUGAAUUCACUCUAUGCUAAAUUGCCCGUAUAGCAAUUACCAAAUAAUCAAUCCGAAACGUAUGAAUAACGCUGCGGGCACCAUUCGACCGGUGUAAUUUUAAAAUUUGGGAGCAGCACAAAUUCACUCUUAACGUCGUAACUAUUUUCCGAACAAGUCAAUUUCUUACGCACCAUUAGACUUGAGUCAGUUCAUUGAUUACCAGCAAUUCGAACGUGCCAUACUCAACAAGUGACAAUUUUUCAGUUGAAUAAUUUUACUGUCGGUACGCACGAUCGAAGUUGAUGGGAUUUUUUGAACAUUCUGAAAUUAUUAUGAAACUACGACGUUUGAUGUGAAAUCAAAUAUCGGCUUUGAAAUUUUAUCGGCAUCCGGAAUAUGUUGUCGAAAAAAUGUUAUUCUUCAUUUUUGUGUAAGGAUAACGAAUUACCGGUGAUGAGUAAAUUCAAAUAGUUUUUCGGAAAUCAAUUUUUUUCCUUUUUGCCAAGGAAAUACGGAACUUCGCAAUAAUUCGUUUGGUACAAGACAGCUGAAUCUGUUUUCUCUCCACUUACCAGCAUUAUCUCGUAUUUAUACCGAUCUCCUUGAGCACGUUUCAAUAGUAUUAUCUUAAUCUUAGUUUCCAAUUUUUAUGGUCUAUACCUCAGCUGUUAACUGCGGCUGAUUACACCUGACAUAUUUUACUGUGCUAUACACACACAUAAUAAGUAUAAUCAUAUACCUAGUCACAUGUUCUAAUUAACAAGACAUUUAUAAUACAUACUGUUUUCAUUCAAUACGACUGUCGCUGCUUCGAUUUACAGUGUGUGAGUGUCCCACUGAAAAAAACUGAGACACAGUUCGGCUAGUAUUGUAUGAGGAAAAAACUGAAUCACCAUAAGUGAAUCUUUACACGAUACUCAUGACGUACCAAGACGCAGUUACGUAUCCUUGUCACGUGUCGUGAAGCGUGGCUUCCCACAAAGGCGCAUCAUAUCCGGACCUCACUUCCGCACAACGAUCGACUUAACGAGAACCUACGGUUUCUUUUUCUUUAUACAUUUUCACGCUGUGCCAUGUGCGUAUCAAUAUGAAUACGGUUUCAAUACGUAAGGAUCUGCGGCUGCUUAUGCUAUAAAUAAUUCCAGCCAAACGUAAGCAGCUGCUGCUUGUAUCAUAUUAUAUACAAAUGACAUCACACGGUAGUUCGGAAACGUUACGAUUUCGUUCGUUACUUUGUAAUUUUUAAUCAAUAAUCAAAACUUCAAUCUUUUACGUACGUUAAAAAUCGGCAAAUAAACAAAAACGCCAAGUCUACCGCUUUAACUGUUUU